rnacentral:sRNA from 1 species
UUUUAGCCCUGAUAGAAAGGAUAGCUUUUUGAAGGCUAUCUUUUCGGUUUUUUACCUUAAAAAAGCGACCAAAGAAGCUCAUUUUAAGGUUUAAAAACCAAAAUUUAGCCGAGAAAACUAAACUGAAUAGCAGGAAUUAGC